AUGUGUGUGUGUACACUCAUGCAUGUGUAUACGGCUGCAUGCUGUGUGUGUGUGUGUGUGUGUGUGUGUGUGUGUAUACCAAAGGAGGCCAGAGUGCAUUGGAACCCUGGAGUUGGAGCUACAGGCAGUGGUAAGCCCUUGAAUGUGGGUGCUGGGAACCAAAUGUGGGUCUUCUGAGACAUCUGCAGCCCACAUAACAUCACUUGAAAACAUGAAUACAGAAACAGGAUUGUACUGAGUGUGUGUGUGCACAUGUCUGUGAGUGUGUGCUAGACAGAGUCUCUCACUUGCCUAGAACUCAUGGAGUAGGGUAGGCCUCAGAUACCCACCUGUUUCUGUCUUCCCGGUGGUUAGGUUGCAAUCAUACACCUCCACACUUGUCUUUUGUUGCUGUGUUGUUUUGAAACCAUGGACUCGGGAGUUGACGAAUCUCCCCGGUCCUUAUUCAGAGUUUCUGAAAAGGCAUUUACCGUGCUUCAUCCCUUCUGGCUUUGAGCUGUAUGAGCUCUCCCCUUACCUUUAAUUCUUAUGUAUCCCUGCUUUCCUUACGCAUGAUGCUGGUGCUCACAUGACGAAGAAUAGCAGAUGCUCAUCUCCUUCAGUUACUAGACAAUAAAAACGAUGAAAACCGAAGGAAGAAGCAAAAAUAAAUUUAUUUCUUUACUGAAAGAAGGUAAUGUCAGGGCAGGAAACGCCCCCUCAGGACACAGACCCAGGCUCACGGUGGGAGGGUACACGUGUGUGCUGAGGGAGGGGAAGGGCCUGCCACAAGUGUCUUACCUCUCUCUGUCUUUGGGUUCAGAGGAGAAUGUCCUCUUGGAGGAGUGCGGUUAGCCCCGGUGUUAGGAGCAGCCUACCUGUGUCAAGAGCCUUUCCAUGUGCUGCUUUGAGAGUGUUUGGAACCGGCGCCCAUUCCCUGCCUCUACAGAAAUGGAUCUCGAAUGUGCCUAGAAGGAUCUGGGGCUGAGGCCGCCACUACUCCUAGCCCCUUGAUGAUUCAGGAAUGCCUCUACUGGCUGAGCACGCCCUCCGUCCCUCAGUGAUCCAGUCAGACAGGAAUUCAUCACUGAGCCACUACUCCGGACUCCCAGCUCCUAGUGAGUAUACUCCUGCUGAGCCAUGACCCCAGUACAUGGAGAGACUGGGCUAAGCAUCUGUGGUUUAGCUUCUGUUGUCCUCACCUGUGGCCCAUCUCUCCACACUCAGUGUGGGGAACACAAGUUCUUUCUCCAGUGAUAUUGUAAAAUUGAAAUACUCAGCUACUUGAGGUCAUUUUCCCACCCGUGGUUCACAAGGUUCAUCUCCUUG
rnacentral:lncRNA from 1 species